GUGAUCACUUUGGCAGCACAUGUACUAAAACUGGAACGAUACAGAGACGAUUAGCAUGGCCCCUGUGCAAGGAUUACAUGCAGAUUCGUGAAGCAUUCCAUAUUUUU
rnacentral:snRNA from 1 species